rnacentral:rRNA from 1 species
AUUGAACGCUGACAGAAUGCUUAACACAUGCAAGUCUACCAAGAAUCACUUCGGUGAGGAAUGGUGGCGGACGGGUGAGUAACGCGUAAAUAAUCUGCCCUUUAGACUGGGCUAUCCUUUGGAAACGAAGGUUAAUACCGGAUAUUAUGAGAUGGACGCAUGUUCAACUUAUGAAAGCUAAAUGCACUAGAGGAGGAGUUUGCGUCCCAUUAGCUAGUUGGUGAGGUAAAGGCUCACCAAGGCCACGAUGGGUAGCCGGCCUGAGAGGGUGAACGGCCACAAGGGAACUGAGACACGGUCCUUACUCCUACGGGAGGCAGCAGUGGGGAAUAUUGGACAAUGGACCAAAAGUCUGAUCCAGCAAUUCUGUGUGCACGAUGAAGGUCUUCGGAUUGUAAAGUGCUUUCAGUAGGGAAGAAAAAAAUGACGGUACCUACAGAAGAAGCGACGGCUAAAUAUGUGCCAGCAGCCGCCGUAA